UAGCUCAGUUGGUAGAGCAUGGGACUCUUAAUCCCAGUGGUCGUGGGUUCAACAGCCAC
rnacentral:tRNA from 1 species